rnacentral:rRNA from 1 species
GACGAACGCUGGCGGCGUGCUUAACACAUGCAAGUCGAACGGAAAGGCCCUGCUUUUGUGGGGUGCUCGAUUGGCGAACGGGUGAGUAACACGUGAGUAACCUGCCCUUGUCUUUGGGGUAACUUCAGGAAACUGGGGCUAAUAUCGGAUAGGAGCUCCUGCUGCAUGGUGGGGGUUGGAAAGUGUCGGCUGUUGGGGCUGGACUCGCGGCUUAUCAGCUUGAUGGUGGGGUAGUGGCUUACCAAGGGUUUGAAGGGUAGCCGGCCUGGGAGGGUGACCGGCGACAAGAGGCCUGCGAGAGGGAGCAGUCGGGUACGGGAGGCAACAGUGGAGAGCAUUACACAGCAAGAGGACGCCAGUGAUGGCGACGUCGCGUGCGGGAAGCCGGGUUACGGGGUGAGAACCGAUGUCGCAGGAGAUGAAGCCGGCGUGACGGUAAUGGAUCAAGAAGCAACGGCUAACUACGUG